rnacentral:lncRNA from 1 species
GCCGGUUUUAUUCGGAACAUCCCACAACAGUGGGGAUAACUGUCAAUUCUGAUUGGGUCACUUAUGGCUACAGCGUCCUCUCAUUUGUUGCCAUAGAGACAAAGUAUUUUCAUUCCAUCAGGCAGGCAACAUGGUCGAAGCGAAGGAGCAAAAUUUUGUUUAGAUUUUUGUUCAUAACUUCUUCAAAAUGGCGUGUAUUACCGCGAAGUAGAAGAACUAACCAAAUGUCCUUAAAAGGCUUUCGUGGAGCGCCUUUCGGCGUUCAAAGCGCCCGGUAAGAAGCAAUUGUUUAACUUAAUACAUAAAUAUGUUAACUAGUCGUAUUAUCAUGUUAUAAUUUUAUUGUUUGUUUAUCGACUGGUCAAGAAGUCAUAUUGUCGGCUAAGUUAAAAUAUUUUGGGCAAAUGUUCCGCUGAAAGGACGGAUUUAUUGUGAACUUCAAGUUUUAUCAACAUCGAUUGUAUUGUAUUCGAAUUUAUUGAAUUAUCGGGACAGUUGAAUACCUGUACCGGUACUGUAGUUACUAACCCCCUAAUUGCCUUAAUGUUUACGUUUUCUGGCAGGCAAAAGUUUAAAAAGCUCCAAAGAGAGCUUCGUCAAUCGUCAUUGUGAUAUGCAUUGUUGAAAUGUUGAAUCAUUUACUAUAGGAGAACAUAAUCUGGUGUAAUCGAAAAUUUCCUGCCAGCAAAUCCGGCUGUUCAGCAUGGCUGGAUUGAUUCUGUAGUAAAAAUUAUGAUUACUAGAUUACAUUGAUAUCGAAGGAACUAGAUUCUGUUCCGAAAUAUCACAUAUUCGAACCGACCUGACCGCGUAGCUCAGUUGGCAAGAGCAUUCAGGGCUAGUAUUCCAAAGGUUGUUGGUUCGAUUCUCACCAUGGCCAGGCAUAUUUUUCAAGCUUGGCCGGUGUGGAUAUACACUCAGAGUAACAUCACAAGCAUCAUAUUCACCUGAGUACAUUACACCAACACAGAAAAAAGUUAUUUAACUUAUUUUUAUAUUAAGAAUUAGUAUGUUAUUGUAUACAUGCUAAUGAGCCUCCCUGUUCACUGAGACAACAUUAUCGGGACUUAGGGGAUGUUUAUGUGGAGGGGAGCCAGCUAGCCCCGGUAUACCCAUGAGCUAGUUCACUUUGCAGAGACCAUAGAAAUAAUAGACACUAUCAAUAGAACUAUCAUUUUGUAAUCUUAUAAGAUAUUAGCAAAACAGUUACGUUUAGAGCAUGCAAAAAUGUUUUGAGUAAAUUAUAUUUUCGCGAAACUACUUUGCUUUUAAAAGGCUGCACGAUUUUCACUGUUUUCAUAGUGUUUUGUAACUGCACAUUUGCUUUGACAGUUUGUGCCUUCAAGGAACUCAAAAUCUAUCCCCAAACUACAAAUUAGGCAACAAGACAAAACGUUUUGAUGGUGAAAACGUAGAUUUAGCUUUGUUUAUACUUUGUACUGUAGUUUGCACUCCUGGCCAAAAUUCAAAAUGGCGCAUUCAAAAGGGCACGCACCUGAAAAAGUGGAGACAUGAUUCGUCAUUAGCACGCAUUCUAUGUCUAUUAUUUCUACCAGGCAGAGACCAAUUUUACUCUGUGUUUACAUUUGACUUUGAGGCUGUCUGGCUCACCAAAUAGUAUAAUAUUAAGAUAUUUUCUCACAAACCUGAAGUUCGCACAUUCUUGAGCAACUUUCACGGUAAGCCACAGUCUGAUCCAGUCCUUAGUCAUUGUGUUUAUAUUGGAAAUUUGCAAGAUAUCGGAUCAGUCGAGGCAAGAUCUUGCUUAGGCAGGCCAGGUCAGUUCCCAUAUAAACACAAAAUGAGACUAAUUAGUAGGAAGUAAUAACAAAGGCGUAAUCUCAUCUAAACCUUUGAAAGAAGUUCAAACUCAAACUGGAGACUACUUAAAUUAUUUUAUAAUUUAAAGUUGUUAAAACUAGUCUUCAAUUAUUACCACAAUUUAUCACCUAUAACGUUCCAACAUAUAUUCACAAAGAGAGAACAAGUGUAUAACUUUAGAAAAACAAAUUGUUUGAAAAUCCCAAAGUUUAAAACAGACUUCAUGAAAAAAUCUGUCGGGUAUCAUUAAUUAAAUAAAAGAUUAUUAUUAUUAUUAUACCGGACUGAGGCAUAAUUUACAGCAGUUCAACUCUGGCCGCUUCGCAGCUUUUGUAAUAUAUUACCUCAGCACUUAGCAAUUGCAAUAAGCAAAUGCAGACUAUAUAAUGCAUAUUGAUAAUAUUCUAACCAUGCCACACAUGUACGGUAACUGAAAGUUGGAACAACAUAUUACCCCCCUAGGGGGGAGUUGUAUGUAAUUUAUGUUAAUUGCUAUAGUAUGUAUAAAUUGCUUAGAAGUUUCACCAUCAAACAUUAUACAAUCAUGUAAUCAAAUGACAAGUCUAAAAUAAUAUAAAAAUACCGGCAGUGUUAAGGUAUGAAAUUUAGCCCGCAUAAAUUCAAUAUAACUAAUUUAGUUGUACUGUCUUACAGUACGGUAAUAUCUGUAAUCACUAAUCACUAUAUUUUACUGUUUAUAGAUUUGAUGUUUCUGGUGUGCAUCCAAAAAGCAAGACACCUGGAACUUUGACUCAAGUUGCCUAUGAUAAAAAGUCCAUCAAUGACAUUGU